UACGGAGGGUGCAAGCGUUAUCCGGAUUUAUUGGGUUUAAAGGGUGCGUAGGCGGCUUUUUAAGUCAGUGGUGAAAUCCAACAGCUCAACUGUUGAACUGCCAUUGAUACUGGAGAGCUUGAGUACAGACGAGGUAGGCGGAAUUUAUGGUGUAGCGGUGAAAUGCAUAGAUACCAUAAAGAACACCGAUUGCGAAGGCAGCUUACUAGGCUGUAACUGACGCUGAGGCACGAAAGUGUGGGGAUCAAACAGG
rnacentral:rRNA from 1 species